CUUAAAGAUCAGAUCAUUAAACAAUGAAUUCAUUAGUUUACCAAACGAACCACCUUUAUUUUUGAAAAAUGAAAAACAUAAAUAGAAGUAGAAAAUUUACAGGCCACUUGUAUUGGCACGACAGCUACAAGAACGUAAUCUGGCCGCAUAAUACCCGCACCCACACUUUUUGCAGUCAACGUUCAACUUAAAAUAUUCAACACAAAUCCACCGAAUUGAUCCCUUAAAUUGAAACGUGUCAGUCAAAUAAAGAAAUCGCUUUUGUAUGAGAUCCUUUUGUUUGUCAAAGCAAACGGGUUUAGCCGGUUCCGGGUCCAUUGGGGCGGGCAAAUUUCAUCACAUUAUGGUUAAACGUGCAUUAUGGUGGGACCUAUUCUCCUCCACGUGGGCCACAUCUGGUUGGUCAUCUCGGG
rnacentral:lncRNA from 1 species